UGGUAAGCCGAAUAUCCUUUGAUCGAUCGUAGCUCGAUCGGUGAGUCACGAACGCGACAAGGGUCGCAUCGUGUGAUAGACGGUGGCAAGCCGAAUAUCCUUCGACCAUUUGUAGCUCGGUCGGUAAGUUGCGAACGCGACAAGGGUCGCGUCGUGUGAUAGACGGUGGCAACCCGAAUAUUUUUCGACCGUUCGUAGCUCGAUCGGUAAGUUACGAACGCGACAGCGGUCGC
rnacentral:lncRNA from 1 species